rnacentral:lncRNA from 1 species
UACAAUAUAAAGUUUUAUAUGCUUGACAUGUAAUGAUUUAAAAAUAUUGCAUCCCUGCUUCUCCUUUUAGACUUGAUGGCAUCGGCUUGAAGGCGGCCAACAGAAGAGCAACCUUGCAUACAAGAAAUCCCAUCAUUCCGAAUACAAGUUCUUUUGGCAUCACUACCAUGGUAUCAUUUCCUGAACCAAAUUUCACCGCAAUAACUGAAAAUGUCAAUGCCAACAUUAAGGUAGACACCGGACCCUUAAUGACAAACUAUUGUAUUAAUUUCCUAAGCUAGGAUCCUGCUUCCAUAAAUUGAAAGAACAGAGCAUAAGGCAGAGAAACACAAUAAGUUUUGGAGACGAGCAUAAUCCUUUUGAAAUUUACUAGCGAAAAUUUCUCAAUCCUCAAUGCUUCCUAAUUGAUAAAUGUUUAAAUUUAUUUCCUCAUUAUAUAAUCACAAAAGAACAUAGAUAAACACGUGCUCCAUUAUUCCAAUAAUUUCAUGUAGCAUUUGAAAAAGGAAAAGAAAAUACAAAUACAUGUACAAAUGAAUCUCCAACGAAGUAGCAAUCUACAGAACCAACAUAAAAAUUAUCAAACCAACAGCCACAAAUAAAGAACAAAAGACAUCGAGAAAAAACCAUACCCUUCUCUCUCUCUCUCUCUUCCCCUAUUCAGUAUCCCAAGUUAAAUGUGAAGACGCUGCAAACUCCAACAGCAUAAGAUUCUCCUUUCGCCUUGCAAAAUAUAACAAAUGCAUCAAAUAAAUUGAAUUGGGUUAAACCCCAAGUCCAAAAUAUAACAAAUGCAUCAAAUAAAUUGAAUUGGGUUAAACCCCAAGUCCCCAACCAACAACAAAUUCAAAAAACUACAAAUGAGAUGUAGUAGAACUGUAGAAGACAAGAAGUAGUAGAACUGUAGAAGACAAGAAGUAGUGGGAUGACUUGUGGCGGAAAAGUAGUGGCUCCGCCCAUUGAGGCGGAUAAGCAACUAGAAGCAUUGAAGUAGGAGUAUGAAAAGCGAAAAUAGAAGUUGAAGAAUGAAGAGUGGAACAAGAAGAUUUCUGUACUACAGUACUUGUAUUUAGUAAUUUAUAAUUGGUUUAUGAAUUUUUUUGUCUCCUCCAAGUUUAACUCUGUUUAUAAUCUGUCCCCUUGAGUUUAUUAACUUACAUAUCUGCCCCUACCCCUAUACCUAUAAAAAAAAUCAGCAUAGGCAGGUGCCUAUGCUGCCCAUGCAUAGGUCCGCCCUGCUUAUAAUAGAAUCCGGACCUGGCAAUUCAUCAACAGACCUUUGUAAAAGUAACAGAUAUAGGAAGCCACCAAUUCCAGCAAAGAUAAGCAGUGUAUCAUAAAGUAAUAACGAGUUCUUUAAAUCUGCAUAGUCUCUCAUGCUUUCUUCAUUUGAUAUUGAGAGUCUCAGUUGAAGUUGAAGUAGAAGUUGAAGUUGAAGUUGAGAGUUUCAGUUGAAGAUGCUUUCUUCAUUUGCUUUCAUACAUACUAAACUUAUGGCAGCAUAAAUGCCAAAUACAAACAAAGUUCUUGUGACAAACUAUUGUAUUAAUUUCCUAAGCUAGGAUCCUGCUUCCAUAAAUUGAAAGAACAGAGCAUAAGGCAGAGAACAAUAAGUUUUGGAGACGAGCAUAAUCCUUUUGAAAUUUACUAGCGAAAAUUUCUCAAUCAAAUCUCAAUGCUUCCUAAUUGAUAAAUGUUUAAAUUUAUUUCCUCAUUAUAUAAUCACAAAAGAAGAACAUAGAUAAACACGUGCUCCAUUAUUCCAAUAAUUUCAUGUAGCAUUUGAAAAAGGAAAAGAAAAUACAAAUACAGGUACAAAUGAAUCUCCAACGAAGUAGCAAUUUACAGAACCAACAUAAAAAUUAUCAAACCAACAGCCACAAAUAAAGAACAAAAGACAUCGAGAAAAAACCAUACCCUUCUCUCUCUUCCCCUAUUCAGUAUCCCAAGUCAAAUGUGAAGAUGCUGCAAACUCCAACAGCAUAAGAUUCUCCUUUGGCAUUGCAAAAUUGCAAUUUAAACUUGAAACUAUCAAACAAAAAAACACUAAUUAGUAACCUAUUAAGUCCAAAAUAUAACAAAUGCAUCAAAUAAAUUGAAUUGGGUUUAACCCAAGUCCCCAACCAACAACAAAUUCAAAAAACUACAAAUUUUAAAUUAUCAAAUAAAAAAGCCCUAAUUUAGUUAGCUGAUUACUCUUGAUAGUUGAUAUGCGCAAGAGCCAAGAGAUAGUGGCGUAGUGACGUAGACGCGUAGUGGAGAACUGGAGAUGUAGUAGAACUGUAGAAGACAAGAAGUAGUGGGAUGACUUGUGGCGGAAAAGUAGUGGCUCCGCCCAAUGAGGCGGAUAACCAACUAGAAGGAUUAAAGUAGGAGUAUGAAAAGCGAAAAUAGAAGUUGAAGAAUGAAAAUUGGAACAAGAAGAUUUCUGUACUACAAUACUUGUAUUUAGUAAUUUAUAAUUGGUUUAUGAUUUUUUUGUCCACUACAAGUUUAACUCUGCUUAUAAUCGAU